GAUGAACGCUAGCGGCAGGCCUAACACAUGCGAGUCGAACGACAGGUUACCUUCGGGUUACCCAAACCGGCGCACAGGUGCGUAACGCGUAUACAAUCUUCCGUUCCCAUAGGUAUAGCCCGGAGAAAUUUGGCUUAAUACCUCAUGUUAUAUAAAAGCCGCAUCGUUUUUAUAUUAAGACUACGGUACUUAACGAUGAGUAUGCAUUCGAUUAGCUAUUUGGAGAUGGAACGGCUCCCCAAGGCCACGAUAGAUAGUGGUUCUGAGAGGGAUGUCCCCCAGACUGGUACUGAGAUACGGACCAGACUGCUACGGGAGGCAGCAGUGAGGAAGAUUAGACAAUGGUCGGAAGACUGAUCCAGCCGUGCCGCGUGAAGGAUGAAGGUACUAUGGAUUGUAAUCUGCUUUUGAAAGAGAAGAAUAAGAGCUACGUGUAGUUUGCUGACGGUACCUUACGAAUAAGCAUCGGCUAACUCCGUG
rnacentral:rRNA from 1 species